UUAAAGUUUUAUUUUAGCUUAUAGGUUUAUUAUUAAUUUAAUUUAUAUGUAAAUUUUUGUGUGAAUUUUUAUUUAUUUAAAUAAUAUGUUAUUUUUAUUCGCAGUAAUUAGUAUUAUUAAUUAAAGAAAUUUAGAAAUAGUAAUAUUAAAGAGUAUUGGCUAAAUUUGUGCCAGCAGCCGCGGUUAUACGAAUAAUACAAAUAAAUUUUUUUAGGAUAAGUUAAAUUGUUUAUAUUAAAUAAAAAUAAAUUUAUUAGGUGAAAUUUUAAAUUUAUAAUAUAUUUUAUGUAAGAUAUUGAGGCUUGUAAAUUUUAUAUUUAAACUAGGAUUAGAUACCCUAUUAUUUAAAAUGUAAAAAAUGAUCUUAAGGUAGUAGUAGUUAUGUUCUUGAAACUUAAAAAAUUUGGCGGUAUUUUAGUCUAUUCAGAGGAACCUGUUCUGUAAUCGAUAGUCCACGAUGGACCUAACUUAGAUUUGUUUAUCAGUUUAUAUACCGUCGUUAUUGGAAUAUUUUAUAAGAAUGUUAAUUUUCAUGAUUUUUUAGAUUUAAAGCAUAUCAGAUCAAGGUGUAGCUAAUAUUUAAGUAGAAAUGGGUUACAAUAAAUUUAUUUAAACGGAUGUAAAUUUGAAAAAUUUAUUGAAGGUGGAUUUGAUAGUAAAAUUAUAUAGAUAAAUAAUUUGAUUUUAGCUCUAAAAUAUGCACACAUCGCCCGUCACUCUUACUAUUAAGGUAAGAUAAGUCGUAACAUAGUAGAUGUACUGGAAAGUGUAUCUAGAAUGC
rnacentral:ncRNA from 1 species